rnacentral:rRNA from 1 species
GAUCAUGGCUCAGGAUGAACGCUAGCUACAGGCUUAACACAUGCAAGUCGAGGGGCAGCAUUGGAGUAGCAAUACUCAGAUGGCGACCGGCGCACGGGUGAGUAACACGUAUCCAACCUGCCGCUUACUCGGGGAUAGCCUUUCGAAAGAAAGAUUAAUACCCGAUGGUAUAAAGAGUUCGCAUGUUCUCUUUAUUAAAGAAUUUCGGUAAGCGAUGGGGAUGCGUUCCAUUAGAUAGUUGGCGGGGUAACGGCCCACCAAGUCUACGAUGGAUAGGGGUUCUGAGAGGAAGGUCCCCCACAUUGGAACUGAGACACGGUCCAAACUCCUACGGGAGGCAGCAGUGAGGAAUAUUGGUCAAUGGACGAGAGUCUGAACCAGCCAAAAGUAGCGUGAAGGAUGACUGCCCUAUGGGUUGUAAACUUCUUUUAUAAGGGAAUAAAGUGAGGGACGUGUCCUUUUUGUAUGUACCGUAUGAAUAAGGAUCGGCUAACUCCGUGCCAGCCGCCGC